UACGUAGGGUGUGAGCGUUGUCCGGAAUUAUUGGGCGUAAAGAGCUCGUAGGCGGUGUGUCGCGUCGGUCGUGAAAACUUGGGGCUUAACCCUGAGCUUGCGGUCGAUACGGGCAUCACUGGAGUUCGGCAGGGGAGACUGGAAUUCCUGGUGUAGCGGUGAAAUGCGCAGAUAUCAGGAGGAACACCGGUGGCGAAGGCGGGUCUCUGGACAGUUCCUGACGCUGAGGCACGAAGGUCAGGGGAGCAAACAGG
rnacentral:rRNA from 1 species